CGCCAGAUAGCUCAGUAGGUAGAGCACCAAACUAGAGAUUCAGGGGGCCCGGGUUCAAAUCCCGAUCUUGUCC
rnacentral:tRNA from 1 species